rnacentral:rRNA from 1 species
GAUGAACGCUGGCGGCGUGCCUAAUACAUGCAAGUCGAGCGAACGGACGAGAAGCUUGCUUCUCUGAUGUUAGCGGCGGACGGGUGAGUAACACGUGGAUAACCUACCUAUAAGACUGGGUUAACUUCGGGAAACCGGAGCUAAUACCGGAUAAUAUUUUGAACCGCAUGGUUCAAAAGCGAAAGACGGUCUUGCUGUCACUUAUAGAUGGAUCCGCGCUGCAUUAGCUAGUUGGUAAGGUAACGGCUUACCAAGGCAACGAUGCAUAGCCGACCUGAGAGGGUGAUCGGCCACACUGGAACUGAGACACGGUCCAGACUCCUACGGGAGGCAGCAGUAGGGAAUCUUCCGCAAUGGGCGAAAGCCUGACGGAGCAACGCCGCGUGAGUGAUGAAGGUCUUCGGAUCGUAAAACUCUGUUAUUAGGGAAGAACAUAUGUGUAAGUAACUGUGCACAUCUUGACGGUACCUAAUCAGAAAGCCACGGCUAACUACGUG